UGGGGAUGACGUCAAGUCAUCAUGGCCCUUAUGUCCGAGGGCGACACACGUGCUACAAUGGCCGGCACAGCGGGAAGCGGAGGGGCGACCCUGAGCGGAUCCCUUGAAAGCCGGUCCCAGUUCGGAUUGCAGUCUGCAACUCGACUGCAUGAAGUUGGAAUCGCUAGUAAUCGCGGAUCAGCCAAGCCGCGGUGAAUACGUUCCCGGGCCUU
rnacentral:rRNA from 1 species